ACGCUCGACACCUACGGAGGCAGCAGUGGGGAAUAUUGCACAAUGGGGGAAACCCUGAUGCAGCGACGCCGCGUGGAGGAAGAAGGUCUUCGGAUUGUAAACUCCUGUUGUUGGGGAAAAAGAGGAUGGUACCCAACAAGGAAGUGACGGCUAACUACGUGCCGGCAGCCGCGGUAAUCUGAGCGGGCUGGCAAGGC
rnacentral:rRNA from 1 species